GUGGUUGUCAGAUACAGCAAGACAAACAGGAGAAACAUAUGUGGAUGAUAACUGGCGUGACAUUACUGUGAAAAAUGCUCCAAGGCAGCUAGACAGUUGCAGCUGUGGAGUCUACUGUUUAAUGUACAUGAGACAAGAAGCAGUCACUAAUA